rnacentral:rRNA from 1 species
GACGAACGCUGGCGGCGUGCCUAAUACAUGCAAGUCGAACGCAGUGGGGACGGGUGAGUAACACGUGGGUAACCUCCCAUCAGAGGGGAUAACACUUGGAAACAGGUGCUAAACCGAUACUGAUGGAUGGACCCGCGGUGCAUUAGCUAGUUGGGUGGGUAACGGCCCACCAAGGCGACGAUCAGUAGCGGGUGUGAGAGGAGGAUCAGCCACACUGGAAUGGAGACACGGCCCAGACUCCUACGGGAGGCAGCAGUGGGGAAUUUUGGACAAGGGGCGCAAGCCUGAUCCAGCCAUGCCGCGUGUCUGAAGAAGGCCUUCGGGUUGUAAAGGACUUUUGUCAGGGAAGCGGUACCUGAAGAAUAAGCACCGGCUAACUACGUGCCAGCAGCCGCGGUAAUUC